rnacentral:rRNA from 2 species
AGAGUUUGAUCAUGGCUCAGGAUAAACGCCGGCGGUGUGCCUAAUACAUGCAAGUCGUACGCACUGGCCCAACUGAUUGAUGGUGCUUGCAUCUGAUUGACGAUGGAUCACCAGUGAGUGGCGGACGGGUGAGUAACACGUAGGUAACCUGCCCCGGAGCGGGGGAUAACAUUUGGAAACAGAUGAUAAUACCGCAUAACAACAAAAGCCGCAUGGCUUUUGUUUGAAAGAUGGCUUUGGCUAUCACUCUGGGAUGGACCUGCGGUGCAUUAGCUAGUUGGUAAGGUAAAGGCUUACCAAGGCGAUGAUGCAUAGCCGAGUUGAGAGACUGAUCGGCCACAAUGGAACUGAGACACGGUCCAUACUCCUACGGGAGGCAGCAGUAGGGAAUCUUCCACAAUGGGCGCAAGCCUGAUGGAGCAACACCGCGUGAGUGAAGAAGGGUUUCGGCUCGUAAAGCUCUGUUGUUGGAGAAGAACGUGCGUGAGAGUAACUGUUCGCGCAGUGACGGUAUCCAACCAGAAAGUCACGGCUAACUACGUGCCAGCAGCCGCGGUAAUACGUAGGUGGCAAGCGUUAUCCGGAUUUAUUGGGCGUAAAGCGAGCGCAGGCGGUUGCUUAGGUCUGAUGUGAAAGCCUUCGGCUUAACCGAAGAAGUGCAUCGGAAACCGGGCGACUUGAGUGCAGAAGAGGACAGUGGAACUCCAUGUGUAGCGGUGGAAUGCGUAGAUAUAUGGAAGAACACCAGUGGCGAAGGCGGCUGUCUGGUCUGCAACUGACGCUGAGGCUCGAAAGCAUGGGUAGCGAACAGGAUUAGAUACCCUGGUAGUCCAUGCCGUAAACGAUGAGUGCUAGGUGUUGGAGGGUUUCCGCCCUUCAGUGCCGGAGCUAACGCAUUAAGCACUCCGCCUGGGGAGUACGACCGCAAGGUUGAAACUCAAAGGAAUUGACGGGGGCCCGCACAAG